CCCAGCCCUGUGCUGCCCAGAUAAGAGCAGCGAGACAGAAGCCGCUUUAGUGUACUGCACUUCAGCUGCUCUGUAACCAGAGAAUAGAGCACACAGCACUUUGGAAAUGAAUUGAAACUGCAUAGAAUAGGAGAAGAAAAUCGGAUCUGAGUCCUGCUGAAGUCUUGGGCUCCUUCAAGAAUUGGGGAGGCAACGCAAAACCCCAAGACAGUGGUUUUCAGUACAUGAACUGAAGCUUCUGGCUGCUGCAGAAGAGUUUUCCUCUAUGUCUCUCAUGAAACUUCCAUAAAGCAUUUGCAAUGCCUUGACGUUCUGCCAUCCGAGGGGGAAUUAAUCGCCGGGAUGGCAUGAAGAGCACAGCACAGAAAGCAGGCAUGGUCCAGACCUCAAGGGACUAAUUAUGUUCUUAAAGGGGAACUGCUGGGGGACUCCCCGCUCUUUGGGAGGGCUGCCAAGGCCCCGUCUGUUUGCAUCUCCUCGUCCUGCAGCCAGCACCCUGACAGCGUGGUAGUGACCGGUCCUGCUGAUGGUAAAGAGACUUCUCCGACCAAACGCCUCAGCUGGCUUUGGGAAGCACCUCCACGCCGAAGGACUGAAUUCCUAAAUUUGUUCAGUGACAGAAACUGCUCCGGAAAAGCCUGCGAAAGCUUUGAUUUCUUGCUAGAUUUAGAAUAACCUGUGUAAAGGGCAGCAAGCAAACAGAUCCAAGUUGACUGGAUUACGACACUGUCUUAAGAACUGCCGGUUGGUUGACGUGUGCUAUUCUGACUGAAGCAAAUGAAAAUGCAUCAUCACAACACUGAAUUAAGAGUCAAGUAAAAUAUUGUUGGUAAGAAGCCGGAGAGACUGAAUGUAUUCAAGACUGGUGGACCAGAACCUCUUGCAUCCAUACCUGUGACAAAUGAAAAAGGAGCUACAUCUAAGGGUCAAGUCCUCUCUACUCAAGUAUGAUCGGACGAGGGAUUUAAGGGCAACAACAGCCUCUUUGCUGGUCUGCAGGCCUGAUGAGCCAAAAGAGCCCCUACUGCCGUUGGUCCACCUAAGGACAAGGAUGCGAUGCAGCAGUUAUAUCCCAAAGAACAUACACAUCCAGCACAUUUCCCUGGCAGAGCUUCACAAACUUGGCAAUCAGGUAUGUAUCAUGCGGGAUACAUCUCUACACUGAUCAUCAAGAAUAUCCUCAGCAAUUCUCUAAUUGCAGUUGGAACAAUAGUGGGCCAAGCAACGUUUUGGUUUUGUUGAUCCUUAACAACCCAGGAGAAGUACUGCUUUUGGCUGUAUACUUCAAUACAUCUUGAAACUGUCAUGAAAGGUGAAGAUCCUUGAUUUCUGAACAGUGAUUGGGCUGAACUCAAGACUUAAUAUAUUUUAAAUGAAUUUACCUCAUAACCCAGUAGCCUUCCACUACUCAUCUUCCAGGGAAUGGCUGUCCAGGAGACUUCGAUGGCUGAGGAGGACAGGCUAGUCGCUGAUACGCCAGCAGGAGCUACAGUAGGCUCUGUAAUGGGAAAUCAAAACAUGAGAGAUCAGCAACAUUGACCCCAACUUUGACUUCAUACUGGUGAAAAGGGCAAGAUGCUUUCGUUCCUAAAGACGUAUCUGGGUGUGUCAGGAGAGGUAACUACAGUCUGUAUCCAUGUUGUGGUGCCAAAGGGACGGAAAGCGACAACAUAUCCAAAUCCUUCUCCAUUUUGUAACUCUUCAGGGAUGGGCUGUGAGAAAAGGAAACAGUGACAGAAGUCUGGUCUGUGACGUUAAAUACAGCACUGGAAAAGCUUUGCAGGAGGAAAGUGCCACCAUGCUAAUGCACAAGGUUGUAAACAGGUUCUGGUACUACAUAUGGGAUCAUUCCAUCAACAAAUCAACUCUGGUACAGUAGAGUGAAACACAUUCUUUUGAACCUAUUGUAAUGCUUGCACUUCAGGAGAAGUUCAUACAUCUCCGGUAUAUGCCUCGUUUUCCACUAAGUGCUUAGUUUUAAGGCACCAUUCAGUAAACACUUAUUUUCAAUUUCUAGUCAAAAUUCAUAGUUCAAAAAAAUUAACUGCUUAGUCAAUUGUUGGAGAAUCCAAUACUACCUUUGUACAGUGGCUUAUACCUUCCCCCAAUGUGAUUAUGAUUAAGUAACCACAGGGAGUCAUCAAUAUUAGUACGUAAUAGUAUGUUAACAUCUUUUAACUCAUUAGAAAUGGGAUGUGUAACUUAAAGUAGUAGCUGAUUCUUUGCAUGGGUUAGCACAUGCAUUCACAGUUAAUGGUAACAAAGCACAGACUGUAAAGUUGCACUGACCAGCACAAUGCUUUGGCUCCACCUUUGAGUAACGCCCAUUUCCCAGCCCAACAAUUGUUUGAGAACAGAAGCAAUCACCUUAGACAAUAACUAAAGUUCUUACUGAUUGCAGACUAGCACAGUAACAAGCAAAGGAGGGAAGGCAAACGUGCAUAGCCCACAUAGCAGAAUGUUACCAAACACAUUCCUAGAUGAGAAGCUGCUGCAGCCAGGAAAACUCAUCUUUUAAGAACAGUUUGAAUGAAAACAACCAUUCUGUGAAGAAAAUUGCUUGCCAGAAAACUUACAUCCCAUGUUAUGACCAGUUCAGACCUGCUGCCGCCUCCCCCACUGACUUCAGAUGGGGGAAUUUCAGGAACUGUGAAAAAGAAACGUACAGCUGUCUGUGCAGUAUAGAUAGACGAGGUGACAUCUUACAAUGUUAACCUCAUUCUUUGAAGCUAACCCAGCAGUUUUCCUAUUUCUUUUGCAAAUCUAGGCAAGUGCUUUUGAACCAGCAUGAGCAUGUCCUGGAAAGGGCCAGCCCCUUCGUUCAACUGGCUUUUAACCUCCUUUGGGCGGACAGGUAUUUUUCUCAAUGUUUUUAGAACCUCACUGUAUUAUAUGCCAUAUCUGCUUUAAUGUUUAUGAACUUCUGGCAUACUUCAGAUUUUCAACAGAGUUAACUCAUGCAGAUGUAUCAGGCAAUAGCCUUAUUCCAAAUACCACUGGGAGCUUUAAUUGAUGUGUUCUGAGCUACAUGCUUAUUACAUGGAAGGUAUACACUGACCAAACACUGGGAAGGGGAAAAGUAGUCAAAAUUCACCUCUUCCUAUCCAUUAACAUUUUUAUAUUCUGCAGCACUAACUAAACAGACAGCUUUUUGCAUACUAAAAACAGUUGAAAUGUAUUUAAAUGUUAUGUGUAAUGCAACACAAACUGUCCCACAGCUAAAUGGAAAAAUCAUCAACAAACUAGUUAUAGACUUUUAUAUUUGAUAGCAAUGCCAAGCCUGUUUGCAGUGAGUCAAGGAUAUGAUUUUUGGGGGGAAUAUAUUUACAAUUCUUGAAUUAAAAACAAAUAAAAGAACCCACUAACCUGCC